rnacentral:rRNA from 1 species
UGCGAAGGGUGCAAACGUUGCUCGGAAUCAUUGGGCGUAAAGCGCACGUAGGCGGCUUCAAAAGUCGGAUGUGAAAUCCCUCGGCUCAACCGAGGACGUGCAUCCGAAACUGUGAGGCUUGAGUACUGAAGAGGAUCGCGGAAUUCCUGGUGUAGCGGUGAAAUGCGCAGAUAUCAGGAGGAACACCGGUGGCGAAGGCGGGUCUCUGGGCCGAUACUGACGCUGAGGAGCGAAAGCGUGGGGAGCGAACAGG